CUAGAAGGACUCUUUAACGGACUACAAAUCCCGGCAUACAGAGUAGUUAGCCGCUUCUGGCCGCGCGUUCUGGAGCCUGUUAUAUCAGUGUCUCUAUUUCCGCAGACUGGAAACAAUUCAAAUAUCUCAACUGGCGAAUGGACAAACAAAAUGUGAUACAUCCAUAGGAUGAAAUGAUACUCCAUGAUAAAAACGAACUGAUAAUGUCUGUCAACAUGAAUGAAUCUGAGAAUGCUUAUGCUGUGUGAAAAAAUCCAGGCACAGCACAUGCUGUACAAUCUCAUUUUAUGAAAUUCUAGAAAAGGAAGGGUACCUUUCGCAUGGGAGAUUUAUUCCUUGCUUUCUGGAGACAAAAGGAAGUCAGAAUUUCAUUUAUACAGAAGCAAAGAAGAGAAUUAUCUGUUGAAUUUUAUUGAAGAUGAGCAUUGAGUUCUCCUAUAGCUACCACCUCCUGCAAACACACACGAGUUAGAGUGUAUGAGAGGAGAAACGGAGAAUACAACCAUUUGUACUGUCCACUCCCAAUUAAAAGGGAAAAAUGGUAAUUAUUCCACCAGACCCCUCCAGAGAUGUAAAACCCUACUGGACAAGGUCAAAGGAAUCAGGUAAUCCUUUAGUAUUCGUUUUCAUUUUGUUUUUUUAUUUGGAGACAUAUUUCUUCUUGCCAUCUACCCUUAUACAACUGUAACGAUUGACUGAUCUUUAGGCCUGCUACACAGAUGUCAUCCUGGAAAUUCACUUUGCCUUUCUUAGAUUCCUGUUUUCU